rnacentral:rRNA from 1 species
GACGUAGGGGGCGAGCGUUGCCCGGAAUCACUGGGCGUAAAGGGGGCGUAGGCGGUCUCAUAAGUCAGGUGUGAAAUGUCACUGCUCAACGGUGUCAGUGCGCUUGAAACUGUGAGACUUGAGGGUACCAGAGGUAGACGGAAUUACCUGAGUAGGGGUGAAAUCCGUAGAUACAGGUAAGAACGCCAGUGGGGAAGCCGGUCUACUGGGGUGACCCUGACGCUGAGGCCCGAAAGCUAGGGUAGCAAACCGGAUUAGAUACCCGGGUAGUCCUAGCAGUAAACGAUGCUCACUAGGUGUGGGGCAAGAAAGCUCCGUGCUGAAGCAAACGCGAUAAGUGAGCCGCCUGGGGAGUACGCCCGCAAGGGUGAA